rnacentral:rRNA from 1 species
UACGAAGGGUGCAAGCGUUAAUCGGAAUUACUGGGCGUAAAGCGCGCGUAGGUGGUUCGUUAAGUUGGAUGUGAAAGCCCCGGGCUCAACCUGGGAACUGCAUCCAAAACUGGCGAGCUAGAGUACGGUAGAGGGUGGUGGAAUUUCCUGUGUAGCGGUGAAAUGCGUAGAUAUAGGAAGGAACACCAGUGGCGAAGGCGACCACCUGGACUGAUACUGACACUGAGGUGCGAAAGCGUGGGGAGCAAACAGGAUUAGAUA